rnacentral:rRNA from 1 species
UUGGAGGGCAAGUCUGGUGCCAGCAGCCGCGGUAAUUCCAGCUCCAAUAGCGUAUAUUAAAGUUGUUGCAGUUAAAAAGCUCGUAGUUGAAUUUCGGGAUUAGUACGUUGGUCGUGCCUUCGGUACGUACUGGUGUUACUGAUUCCUACCUUCUGACGAACCAUCAUGUCAUUAAUUUGGUGUGGCGGGGAAUCAGGACUGUUACUUUGAAAAAAUUAGAGUGUUUAAAGCAGGCUCGCGCUUGAAUACAUUAGCAUGGAAUAAUGAAAUAGGACGUUGACCCUAUUUUGUUGGUUUCUAGGAUUGACGUAAUGAUUAAUAGGGAUAGUUGGGGGCAUUAGUAUUCAAUUGUCGGAGGUGAAAUUCUUGGAUUUAUUGAAGACUAACUACUGCGAAAGCAUUUGCCAAGGAUGUUUUCAUUAAUCAAGAACGAAAGUUAGGGGAUCGAAGACGAUCAGAUACCGUCGUAGUCUUAACCAUAAACUAUGCCGACUAGGGAUCGGAUGAUGUUAUUUUUAAUGACUCAUUCGGCGCCUUACGGGAAAC